GACGAACGCUGGCGGUGUGCUUAACACAUGCAAGUCGAACGGAAAGGCCUCUUUCGGGGGGUACUCGAGUGGCGAACGGGUGAGUAACACGUGAGUAACCUGCCCCUGAGUUUGGGAUAACUUCAGGAAACUGGGGCUAAUACCGUAUAGGAGCUCCUGCUGCAUGGUGGGGGUUGGAAAGUUUCGGCGGUUGGGGAGGGAGCCGCGGCUUAUCAGCUUGUUGGUGGGGUAGUGGCUUACCAAGGCUUUGACGGGUAGCCGGCCUGAGAGGGUGACCGGCCACAUUGGGACUGAGAUACGGCCCAGACUCCUACGGGAGGCAGCAGUGGGGAAUAUUGCACAAUGGGUGGAAGCCUGAUGCAGCAAAGCCGUGUGCGGGAAGACGGCCUUCGGGUUGGAACCCGCUUUCGCUCAUGACGAAGCUUUGUGUGACGGUAGUGGGUAAAGAAGCACCGGCUAACUACGUG
rnacentral:rRNA from 1 species